GAUUGUAUUGAGCAUUGGUAUGGGAACCUGCUAAGUGGUAACUUCCAAAUUCAGAGAAACCCUGGAAUCAAAAAUGGGCCCUCCUGAGCCAAAUCCCUUUUUUGAAAAAACAAGUGGUUCUCAAAUGAGAACCCAAAGGAAAAGGAUAGGUGCAGAGACUCAAUGGAAGCUGUUCUAACGAAUCGAGGUGUAAUUACGUUGUGUUGGUAAUGAAACUCCCUCUAAAUUAUUAAAUUAGAGAAAGAAGGACUUUAUACAUCUAAUACACACGUAUAGAUCCUGACAUAGCAAACGAUUAAUCACAGAACCAGUAUCAUAACAUAGGUUCUUUAUUUAUUUUUUAGAAUGAAAUUAGGAAUGAUUAUGAAAUAGAAAAUUCUGAAUUUUUUUAGAAUUAUUGUGAAUCCAUUCCACUCGAAUAUUGAAUAAAAAAAUCCUUCAAUUCAUUGUUUUUGAGAUUUUUUAUUUUAAAAAGAAGAUUAAUCGGACGAGGAUAAAGAGAGAGUCCCAUUCUACAUGUCAAUACUGACAACAAUGAAAUUUCUAGUAAAAGG
rnacentral:ncRNA from 3 species